UGCCAGCAGCCGCGGUAAUACAGAGGGUGCAAGCGUUGUUCGGAAUCAGUGGGCGUAAAGCGCGCGUAGGCGGUUACGUAAGUCUGAUGUGAAAGCCCGGGGCUUAACCUCGGAAGUGCAUCGGAAACUGCGUAACUUGAGUCUCGGAGAGGGUGGUGGAAUUCCAGGUGUAGAGGUGAAAUUCGUAGAUAUCUGGAGGAACAUCGGUGGCGAAGGCGACCACCUGGACGAUGACUGACGCUGAGGUGCGAAAGCGUGGGUAGCAAACAGGAUUAGAUA
rnacentral:rRNA from 1 species